CCUACGGGUGGCAGCAGUAGGGAAUAUUGCUCAAUGGGGGAAACCCUGAAGCAGCAACGCCGCGUGGAGGAUGAAGGUUUUCGGAUUGUAAACUCCUGUUGUUAGGGAAGAUAAUGACAGUAUCUAACGAAUAAGCACCGGCUAACUCCGUGCCAGCAGCCGCGGUAAUACGGAGGGUGCAAGCGUUACUCGGAAUCACUGGGCGUAAAGAGCGCGUAGGCGGGAUAGCAAGUCAGAUGUGAAAUCCUAUGGCUUAACCAUAGAACUGCAUUUGAAACUGUUAUUCUAGAGUAUGGGAGAGGUAGGUGGAAUUCUUGGUGUAGGGGUAAAAUGCGUAGAGAUCAAGAGGAAUACUCAUUGCGAAGGCGACCUGCUAGAACGUAACUGACGCUGAUGCGCGAAAGUGUGGGGAGCAAACAGGAUUAGAUACCCUAGUAGUC
rnacentral:rRNA from 1 species